GCAGUGAUGGUUCAGUGGUAGAAUUCUCCCCUUCCAUGCAGGAGACCUGGGUUUGAUUCCUAGCCAAUGCA
rnacentral:tRNA from 1 species